rnacentral:rRNA from 1 species
UACGGAGGGGGCUAGCGUUGUCCGAAGUUACUGGGCGUAAAGCGCGCGUAGGCGGGUUGGUAAGUCCGCUGUGAAAGCCCGGAGCUUAACUCCGGAGGGUCGGUGGAUACUGCCAGUCUUGAAGGUGCUAGGGGGAGAUGGAAUUACCGGUGUAGCGGUGAAAUGCGUAGAUAUCGGGAAGAACACCCGUGGCGAAGGCGGCUCUCUGGGACGGUACUGACGCUGAGACGCGAAAGCGUGGGGAGCGAACAGG